UACGAAGGGGGCUAGCGUUGCUCGGAAUCACUGGGCGUAAAGCGCACGUAGGCGGCUUUUUAAGUCGGUGGUGAAAUCCUGGAGCUCAACUCCAGAACUGCCUCCGAUACUGAAGAGCUUGAGUCCGGGAGAGGUGAGUGGAACUGCGAGUGUAGAGGUGAAAUUCGUAGAUAUUCGCAAGAACACCAGUGGCGAAGGCGGCUCACUGGCCCGGUACUGACGCUGAGGUGCGAAAGCGUGGGGAGCAAACAGG
rnacentral:rRNA from 1 species